rnacentral:rRNA from 1 species
UACGUAGGGGGCAAGCGUUGUCCGGAAUUAUUGGGCGUAAAGAGCGCGUAGGCGGUCCGAUAAGUCGGCUGUGAAAGUCAGGGGCUCAACCCUUGAAAGCCGGCCGAUACUGUCGGACUAGAGUCCGGAAGAGGCAAGUGGAAUUCCCGGUGUAGCGGUGAAAUGCGCAGAGUAUCGGGAGGAACACCAAUGGCGAAGGCAGCUUUGCUGGGACGGUACUGACGCUGA